AUGAACGCUAGCUACAGGCUUAACACAUGCAAGUCGAGGGGCAGCAUGGUCUUAGCUUGCUAAGGCCGAUGGCGACCGGCGCACGGGUGAGUAACACGUAUCCAACCUGCCGUCUACUCUUGGACAGCCUUCUGAAAGGAAGAUUAAUACAAGAUGGCAUCAUGAGUCCGCAUGUUCACAUGAUUAAAGGUAUUCCGGUAGACGAUGGGGAUGCGUUCCAUUAGAUAGUAGGCGGGGUAACGGCCCACCUAGUCUUCGAUGGAUAGGGGUUCUGAGAGGAAGGUCCCCCACAUUGGAACUGAGACACGGUCCAAACUCCUACGGGAGGCAGCAGUGAGGAAUAUUGGUCAAUGGGCGAGAGCCUGAACCAGCCAAGUAGCGUGAAGGAUGACUGCCCUAUGGGUUGUAAACUUCUUUUAUAAAGGAAUAAAGUCGGGUAUGCAUACCCGUUUGCAUGUACUUUAUGAAUAAGGAUCGGCUAACUCCGUGCCAGCAGCCGCGGUAAUACGGAGGAUCCGAGCGUUAUCCGGAUUUAUUGGGUUUAAAGGGAGCGUAGAUGGAUGUUUAAGUCAGUUGUGAAAGUUUGCGGCUCAACCGUAAAAUUGCAGUUGAUACUGGAUAUCUUGGGUGCAGUUGAGGCAGGCGGAAUUCGUGGUGUAGCGGUGAAAUGCUUAGAUAUCACGAAGAACUCCGAUUGCGAAGGCAGCCUGCUAAGCUGCAACUGACAUUGAGGCUCGAAAGUGUGGGUAUCAAACAGGAUUAGAUACCCUGGUAGUCCACACGGUAAACGAUGAAUACUCGCUGUUUGCGAUAUACAGCAAGCGGCCAAGCGAAAGCGUUAAGUAUUCCACCUGGGGAGUACGCCGGCAACGGUGAAACUCAAAGGAAUUGACGGGGGCCCGCACAAGCGGAGGAACAUGUGGUUUAAUUCGAUGAUACGCGAGGAACCUUACCCGGGCUUAAAUUGCAGAUGAAUUACGGUGAAAGCCGUAAGCCGCAAGGCAUCUGUGAAGGUGCUGCAUGGUUGUCGUCAGCUCGUGCCGUGAGGUGUCGGCUUAAGUGCCAUAACGAGCGCAACCCUUGUUGUCAGUUACUAACAGGUCAUGCUGAGGACUCUGACAAGACUGCCAUCGUAAGAUGUGAGGAAGGUGGGGAUGACGUCAAAUCAGCACGGCCCUUACGUCCGGGGCUACACACGUGUUACAAUGGGGGGUACAGAGGGCCGCUACCACGCGAGUGGAUGCCAAUCCCAAAAACCUCUCUCAGUUCGGACUGGAGUCUGCAACCCGACUCCACGAAGCUGGAUUCGCUAGUAAUCGCGCAUCAGCCACGGCGCGGUGAAUACGUUCCCGGGCCUUGUACACACCGCCCGUCAAGCCAUGGGAGCCGGGGGUACCUGAAGUGCGUAACCGCGAGGAGCGCCCUAGGGUAAAACUGGUGACUGGGGCU
rnacentral:rRNA from 1 species